CCUACGGGAGGCAGCAGUGAGGAAUAUUGGUCAAUGGCCGGAAGGCUGAACCAGCCAAGCCGCGUGAAGGACGAAGGUGCCAAGCAUUGUAAACUUCUUUUGUCAAGGGACAAAAUCAGGCUCGAGAGCCUGACCGUGGGUACUUGAAGAAAAAGCAUCGGCUAACUCCGUGCCAGCAGCCGCGGUAAUACGGAGGAUGCGAGCGUUAUCCGGAUUUAUUGGGUUUAAAGGGUGCGUAGGCGGGCUGUUAAGUCAGCGGGAAAAGACCGGGGCUCAACCCAGGCGAGCCGUUGAAACUGGCUGUCUUGAGAAGUCGAGAGGUAGGCGGAAUGCGUGGUGUAGCGGUGAAAUGCUUAGAUAUUGCGAAGAACUCCGAUUGCGAAGGCAGCAUACCGGCGGGGAACUGACGCUGAGGCACGAAAGCGUGGGUAUCGAACAGGAUUAGAUACCCGAGUAGUC
rnacentral:rRNA from 1 species